rnacentral:rRNA from 1 species
GAUGAACGCUGGCGGCGUGCCUAAUACAUGCAAGUCGAGCGAACAGACGAGGAGCUUGCUCCUCUGACGUUAGCGGCGGGCGGGUGAGUAACACGUGGAUAACCUACCUAUAAGACUGGGAUAACUUCGGGAAACCGGAGCUAAUACUGGAUAACAUGUUGAACCGCAUGGUUCAACAGGGAAAGACGGUCUGGCUGUCACUUAUAGAUGGAUCCGCGCCGCAUUAGCUAGUUGGUAAGGUAACGGCUUACCAAGGCAACGAUGCGUAGCCGACCUGAGAGGGUGAUCGGCCACACUGGAACUGAGACACGGUCCAGACUCCUACGGGAGGCAGCAGUAGGGAAUCUGCCGCAAUGGGCGGAAGCCUGACGGAGCAACGCCGCGUGAGUGAAGAAGGUCUUCGGAUCGUAAAGCCCUGUUAUUAGGGAAGAACAACUGUGUAAGUAACUAUGCACGUAUUGACGGUACCUAAUCAGAAAGCCCCGGCUAACUACGUG